CCUACGGGUGGCAGCAGUGGGGAAUAUUGGGCAAUGGGCGCAAGCCUGACCCAGCAACGCCGCGUGAAGGAAGAAGGCUUUCGGGUUGUAAACUUCUUUUCUGAGGGACGAAGAAAGUGACGGUACCCCAGGAAUAAGCCACGGCUAACUACGUGCCAGCAGCCGCGGUAAUACGUAGGUGGCAAGCGUUAUCCGGAUUUAUUGGGUGUAAAGGGCGUGUAGGCGGAAGGUUAAGUCAGCGGUCAAAUGUCGGUGCUCAACACCGGCCUGCCGUUGAAACUGGUCUUCUUGAGUGAGCGAGAAGUAUGCGGAAUGCGUGGUGUAGCGGUGAAAUGCAUAGAUAUCGCGCAGAACUCCGAUUGCGAAGGCAGCAUACCGGCGCUCAACUGACGCUGAGGCACGAAAGCGUGGGGAUCGAACAGGAUUAGAUACCCUAGUAGUC
rnacentral:rRNA from 1 species